CCUAGAGUUGUAGGCUUUGCCUGCUAUCUCUUACCCAUGUCUUUUGAGUACCUUCGUUUCCCUCGGCGGGUCCGCCCGCCGAUUGGACAAUUUUAAACCAUUUGCAGUUGCGAUCAGCGUCUGAAAAAAACUUAAUAGUUA
rnacentral:misc_RNA from 1 species